rnacentral:rRNA from 1 species
GACGAACGCUGGCGGCGUGCUUAACACAUGCAAGUCGAACGGAAAGGCCCCUUUGGGGGUCCUCGAGUGGCGAACGGGUGAGUAACACGUGAGUAACCUGCCCUUGACUUCGGGAUAACUUCAGGAAACUGGGGCUAAUACCGGAUAGGAAUCCUUGCUGCAUGGUGGGGGUUGGAAAGCUUCGGCGGUUUUGGAUGGAUUCGCGGCUUAUCAGCUUGUUGGUGGGGUAGUGGCUUACCAAGGCUUUGACGGGUAGCCGGCCUGAGAGGGCGACCGGCCACAUUGGGACUGAGAUACGGCCCAGACUCCUACGGGAGGCAGCAGUGGGGAAUAUUGCACAAUGGGCGGAAGCCUGAUGCAGCAACGCCGCGUGCGGGAUGACGGCCUUCGGGUUGUAAACCGCUUUCAGCAGGGGCGAAGCUUGUGGUGACGGUACCUGCAGAAGAAGCACCGGCUAACUACGUG